rnacentral:rRNA from 1 species
UACGUAGGGCGCAAGCGUUAUCCGGAAUUAUUGGGCGUAAAGAGCUCGUAGGCGGUUUGUCGCGUCUGCCGUGAAAGUCCGGGGCUCAACUCCGGAUCUGCGGUGGGUACGGGCAGACUAGAGUGCAGUAGGGGAGACUGGAAUUCCUGGUGUAGCGGUGAAAUGCGCAGAUAUCAGCAGGAACACCGAUGGCGAAGGCAGGUCUCUGGGCUGUAACUGACGCUGAGGAGCGAAAGCAUGGGGAGCGAACAGG